UGGAAGAAAUCCGUGAAAGAAAAACUCAUAAUCUAAGAGCUUCAAACUCGAGUUUUAGGAAUUCUCAUCACUCGAUUCUUGUCUUAAAACUUUGUCCCAACUUCAGACUUUAUUGGGGAAGAUUCCACCUACAUUUAGAGCUCCA